GGAGGCGGGAGGCGGGGCCGAGUGGGAGCCGGAGCUGGAGUCGGAGCCGGCGGUUGCAGCGGAGGCGGUGAUGUCGGUGCAGGUUGUGUCAGCAGCGGCGACGGCCAAGGUGCCUGAGGUGGAGCUGAGGGCUCUGAGCCCCUCCGAGGCGGAGCCCCAGUUAGGACUGAGCACGGCGGCUGUGGGCGCCAUGGUACCCCCGGCGGGCGGCGGGGACCCAGAGGCUCCAGCUCCAGCUCCCGUAGCGGAGCGGCCCCCGGCCCCUGGCCCGGGCUCGGGGCCCACCGCGGCUCUCAGCCCUGCGGCCGGGAAGGUGCCUCAAGCGUCGGCCAUGAAGCGGAGUGACCCUCAUCACCAGCACCAGCGGCAUCGCGACGGCGGCGAGGCCCUGGUCAGCCCCGACGGCACGGUCACCGAGGCGCCGCGCACCGUCAAGAAGCAGAUCCAGUUUGCUGACCAGAAGCAGGAAUUCAACAAGCGUCCUACCAAAAUUGGGCGUCGAUCUCUGUCUCGUUCCAUCUCUCAGUCGUCUACUGACAGCUACAGCUCAGCUGCUUCAUAUACAGAUAGCUCUGAUGAUGAGACAUCCCCUCGGGACAAGCAGCAAAAGAACUCUAAGGGAAGUAGUGACUUCUGUGUCAAGAACAUCAAACAGGCGGAGUUUGGACGCAGAGAAAUUGAAAUUGCUGAACAAGAGAUGCCUGCCCUGAUGGCCUUACGGAAGAGAGCCCAAGGAGAAAAGCCUUUGGCUGGAGCCAAAAUUGUGGGUUGUACGCACAUCACUGCUCAGACCGCUGUGCUGAUGGAAACUCUGGGUGCUCUGGGAGCACAAUGCCGGUGGGCCGCCUGCAACAUCUACUCCACGCUCAAUGAAGUGGCCGCUGCUCUAGCAGAAAGUGGAUUUCCUGUCUUUGCCUGGAAAGGAGAGUCAGAAGACGACUUUUGGUGGUGCAUCGACAGAUGUGUGAAUGUGGAGGGCUGGCAGCCAAACAUGAUACUGGAUGAUGGAGGAGAUCUUACUCACUGGAUUUAUAAAAAGUAUCCCAACAUGUUUAAGAAAAUCAAAGGCAUAGUCGAGGAGAGUGUUACUGGAGUCCAUAGGCUGUACCAACUGUCCAAAGCUGGGAAGCUGUGUGUUCCAGCCAUGAACGUCAAUGACUCAGUCACUAAACAGAAAUUUGAUAACCUCUACUGUUGCCGUGAAUCUAUUCUUGAUGGACUUAAAAGGACAACAGAUAUGAUGUUUGGUGGGAAGCAAGUGGUAGUCUGUGGCUAUGGAGAGGUGGGAAAGGGGUGCUGUGCUGCUCUGAAAGCCAUGGGUUCCAUUGUGUAUGUAACUGAGAUCGACCCCAUCUGUGCCCUGCAAGCCUGUAUGGAUGGAUUCCGACUAGUGAAACUGAAUGAAGUCAUCCGACAAGUGGACAUUGUUAUCACCUGUACAGGUAACAAGAAUGUGGUAACCAGAGAGCACUUGGACCGUAUGAAGAACAGCUGCAUUGUUUGUAACAUGGGACAUUCCAACACUGAGAUUGAUGUGGCCAGCCUGCGGACACCAGAACUGACCUGGGAGAGAGUAAGAUCCCAAGUUGACCACGUGAUAUGGCCUGAUGGCAAGAGGAUAGUGCUGCUGGCAGAGGGCCGGCUGCUGAACCUAAGCUGCUCCACAGUGCCUACAUUUGUGCUUUCCAUCACUGCUACCACUCAGGCUCUCGCCUUGAUAGAACUUUACAAUGCUCCUGAGGGUCGCUAUAAGCAAGAUGUGUACCUGUUGCCCAAGAAAAUGGAUGAGUACGUGGCAAGCCUCCACCUGCCCACCUUUGAUGCCCACCUGACAGAACUGACAGAUGAGCAGGCCAAGUAUCUGGGACUCAACAAGAAUGGGCCCUUCAAACCUAAUUACUACAGGUGCCUCGGGCUCCCCAGGAAUCAGAAGGCUGGGUAGUGAAGAGCUUCCUGCGGUGCAGCUGGUCCUUGCCUCUCUACCACAUACCUUUGUAUUAAGUUCCUGUAAUGCAAGCCAGAAGACGUUUAAGGAAGAGAACCAAGCCUUUAUCCAAGGAAGACCCCAGCAAGCUGCUUCUCCAGUCAGAGCUGCCCGCCGUGCUCAUCCUAUGUGUUAGGUUAUUUAUUUAUUAAAAUCUAGAAUCCUGUGCCUGUAGCCUUGGCCCAGAGUGUGGUUACUACUCCUGGGGCCUGAGAGCCGCAGAGGACAGGCUGAGGAAGGAAAGAAAUGGGCGACCAUUCCUAGUGAUCAUUCGCAUCAUUGCCCAUUGAUGGACUCCUCAGUGAUGGCCAUUUUUCUUCCCAGGCUCAGGAGUUAGUUCAGGGAUGCCAGACUCCUUGUUACUUAGGGUUUUCUGGAAUAAAUUUUCAGCAGCUGCCUUUCUCCAAGCUUUGGUCCUUUCCCAGAUGAGGCCUUUUGGAAGCCACUGAAUUACCAGGGCCUGAAUUCUCAGUCUUGAUAGUUACUAUCACUGCCUUCUUUAUAAAAAGGCUAGUGAGGUAGGAGUGUUAAGGUCUUGUAAGCUACACCAAGAACUCAGCUGUGCCUGUGUCUGUGCCUACUGGGAUCUCUUUUCUUACCCAGAACUCCUUUCUGUUCCUUGAAUAUUAUAUCCAUUUUAAUGCUUCCUGGUUCUAAAAGGGUGUGCCUCCAUGAUCUUAAUACCUCUGCUGCUGGCCAGGCAUUUGUUUUGCUUUCUAACCCCACCAAACUCUGCUCAGGAAGUAGGGGACCAGCUCCACAGGGACCCAUAGUUUUGCUUCCUUGUCACUUAACUGGACCGUUUCCCAGGAAGCCCCCUCUAAACUGGCACUGUCUCAGAAAAGGAGGGCUUUAUGUGGAUAGUGCUUCCUGAAACUUCUGUUACUGCCUGAAACGACUUCUGGAACUGAGUUGGCAAAGGUGUUUGCUAGAGAUUUGAAAGCUUGAGCCUUUGGAAUGGGAUCCAGCUUGGCAUCCUAAAGAAGCCAGUCUGUUUGUUUUCCAGGAGAGACUUCACAGCCUGACUGCAGAAGAUGGGUGACUCUGUCAUCUGUAUCCAGAGGAUGGAAACUAGUUUGAGGGCUGGGGGAUAGCUCAGUGGUGAAGCACAUGGCUGGUGUGCACAGGCCCUAGGCUCAGUCACUGGGUACUAGGGAAGCGGGUGGGGAACUGCUUUGAACCUCAUCAGACAGUCAUCCCUUUGGCUGCUGCCAUUGGUGAGAUCUGUAAUUUGAUAUCUCAUCUCUCUUUGCUGCUGCUGUAUCUUUAUGAUCUGGCCCCUUCUGUUUAAGGAUUCUGUUUCAGAGAGUUUCUUAAGUAGCUCCAGCGUUAGCAUAGCUGGUAAAUGGUGUGAAAUUUCUCAGUCCACUCAAGCUUUAGAUUUCCUUUGGAGACGGACUGACUGGUUUCAGGGUUUCCGUUGGGAUCAGUUGGUUUCAAAAAUUAAAACCUGGAGUGACCCUAGGAAUCUUGAGUUAAAUGAGUUCCUCUCCUGGCCCAUCCUAUUUAAAAGUCUCAUGCUUGUUUCCCAUGUAUUUCUUAUGUUGUUCUGCUUCAGAGUCUCAAGACCAAGGUCAUUCAGACAGAAGACACACAGAAUCACUAAAACCUUUAUCUAGAUCUUCUCCCCUGCCCUACCAUCUCCAUCAUCCCUUGGUCUUUGUGUGUGCCCUGGAAGCUAGUCUGGAAGUGUCCUUAUUUUUGAAGAUAGGGAAACAGAACUGGUGUAGGUGGCUGUUUGCCUUAUUAGGUGGUAUACAGGCUCAGCCCAGAAGAUGGAUUCUUUACAGGGUAUCAUCUGUCUCUACUCUUUUAUAAGGAAGACCGUAGAGGCUGCAGAUGCCACAAAGAUACUCAAUUCUGUUUGCCUCAUUCUGAUUUUUGUGUUAAUAGCUAAUUGUAUCACUCUCCCACCUUUAUUUUGUUUUUGUUGUUGGGUUUUGUUGUUGUUCUGAAAUAGUCUCACUCUAUAACCUUGACUGGCCUCAAACUCAUGGCAGUCCUCCUGCCUCCGCCUCUUGAGGCAUAUGCUACCAUGCCUGGCUGGCUCUUCAUUGGCUCUCUUUAGCAAAAGAUUCAGCUAUCUGCCUCAUCUUAUGUCCCGGGCAGAUUCUGUUAGGCAGGUAUCUGGGCCCCAAAUCAUAACCUGCUGAUUUCCAGCAAAGCCUUGCUCUCUACAGAGCUUCCUAUAGCUGGUACUUACGGAGUACAGUGUGUCAAAACCAGUGAAGAGAUCCAUUGGAAAUAGAAAGGGAGCCACAUGGGUUUCUAAGUUAGGUUGCACUGUGUCUGCCCAUGGUGAGGUAUUUGACUAUGAGUUGCAGAUGACAUCUAUUCUCUUCUCUUCAGAAACUGCUGCGUCAUCAACCAUUAAGAAAGCAACCAGAAGUAGGGAUGUAAGUCAGUGAUAGGACACUUGAUUAGCAUGUGCCCAGCCCUGGGUUGAGUCCCCAGUUCAGGGGGCUUAUGGGGAAUGUGGAAGGAAGAGAGAAGGUAGUCCAGGACUCCUGUCUAGCUUCUGUCCUGUUAGAGCCAAAUCAUUGUUUCCUCUAACCUUGGAAUCAGAGCAAAUCUCUUCUUACUCCAUCUCCUCCUCUUAGAUGCAUCCUAGCUACUAGGAGGCAAGGAAAAGAACACUGACUGUCCCUAGGUAUGUGGCCUGGCGGUGGGGAUACAUACCAUUUAUCUACAAUGAAAUGUGUGCUACUUCAAGAUCUUCUUGCUUUCUUGGUGGAAAUAUUUUUUUCCUUUUUCUUGUUAAACAAAAUGCCUCCAGUCGGCCUCCCCUCUGCCCCUCCCUCCUCACACUCCCCUCCCAUGAGAGCACGGCUCCCCAUGGCCACACACUCCUGCAAAGCUUUUCUGCUGCUUGGCUUUUCUCUGAACAGAUCUGAAAUUGCUGCUCCUGUGGUUUCCUCAGAAUUCACUGUCACGGUUUAAAAAAUCAGAAUGCACUGUUGCAUUAAGCUUUUUUAAUAAGAGAAAAUUAUGGAAAGAAAAUAGGUAACACCAGCAAAUUAUAUAUUGACAAGUCUAAACUAUAUAUAUAUACAUAUCUAUAUAAAUAAUCAUCUAGUUCUUACUGUCAUCUUACUGAAAGGAACGAGACCUCUAAGGAUCAUUAGUUCUGAGAAGCUCUUGGAAAUCUUUAUGUCUAAGUGAUUGUAUUAGAUCAGCAAUAAUGACUAUGUAAUCUCAAAAAAUAAAUAAAAUAUUCUUAAAACUGG